AUGGCCUGGCAGCACAUCUCAAUGGAUUUUAUUGAGGGACUUCCCAAAUCACAAGGGAAAGAUGUGAUCAUGGUGGUAGUGGAUAGGUUUACCAAAUACUCUCACUUCAUCCCACUGUCUCAUCCGUACUCAGUACUCAGUGUGACUCAAGCAUUUGUGGAUAAUAUCAUCAGAUUACAUGGCCCUCCCAAAUUAAUUAUAUCUGACAGAGAUAGAAUUUUCACCAGCCAACUAUGGAGGGAUAUCUUCUCUGCAUUGAAAGUGGAACUCAGAUACAGUACUGCUUACCAUCCUCAAACUGAUGGUCAGACUGAGCGUGUCAAUCAGUGUUUGGAAACGUAUCUGAGAUGCAUGACUACAUCUGCUCCUACAAAGUGGUUGUCUUGGCUCUCAUUGGCAGAAUUCUGGUAUAACUCAACUUACCACACUGCCAUUAAAAUGUCCCCCUUCCAAGCUCUGUAUGGAUUUCCCCCUCCUCUCAUAUCAGAAUUGGCAAUACCUGGACCUGAGGAUGAAGAAGCACAUGCCUUUUUAACUGCCAAACAACAGAUCCUACAGCAGCUCAAAGACAAUCUGGUGCUGGCACAGAACAAAAUGAAGAAGUAUGCUGAUACUAAGAGAGUUGAGAGAAGCUUUCAGGUGGGAGAUCCAGUAUAUUUGAAAAUGGCUCCAUACAGAUUAACAGCCUUUGGAUUCAGAGGUGCUUUAAAGUUGAAAAACAAAUUCUACGGCCCAUUUUUGGUCAUUCAGAAAGUGGGAAAUGCAGCUUACAAAUUGCAGUUACCUAGUGGGGUGCAAAUCCACCCAGUAUUCCAUGUGAGCCAAUUAAAGAAGCACAUUGGGGAUAAGUCAAUACCUGAUCCUAACCUGCCACUUGUGAACCAGGAUGGAACAAUCAGAAGGGGACCAGAGGAAGUGUUAGAAGUUCGACAAGUUCCUCGACACAACUUACCAGUGGUGCAGUGGCUUAUCAAAUGGAUUAACUUGCCGACAACCGGCGCAACAUGGGAAGACGCGGAUUUUAUCAAGUACACAUUUCCGGAGUUCUUCAGCAACACUACGAAAGCAUGGCGUGCAGCAGCAGCAACGCUGUGA
rnacentral:rRNA from 1 species